rnacentral:rRNA from 1 species
UGGGGAAUUUUGGACAAUGGGGGCAACCCUGAUCCAGCCAUGCCGCGUGAGUGAAGAAGGCCUUCGGGUUGUAAAGCUCUUUCGGCGGGGACGAAACGGUCCGUGACAACACCACGGACUAAUGACAGUACUCGCAGAAGAAGCACCGGCUAACUACGUGCCAGCAGCCGCGGUAAUACGUAGGGUGCAGGCGUUAAUCGGAAUUACUGGGCGUAAAGCGUGCGCAGGCGGCUCCUUAAGUCAGAUGUGAAAUCCCCGGGCUUAACCUGGGAACUGCGUUUGAAACUGAGGGGCUAGAGUGUGGAAGAGGGGGGUGGAAUUCCAGGUGUAGCAGUGAAAUGCGUAGAGAUCUGGAGGAACACCGAUGGCGAAGGCAGCCCCCUGGGCUAACACUGACGCUCAUGCACGAAAGCGUGGGGAGCAAACAGGAUUAGAUACCCCCGUAGUCCUGAGCGGGCUGGCAAGGCGCAU